CAGCAGCCACGGUAACACAGAGGGUGCGAGCGUUAAUCGGAUUUACUGGGCGUAAAGCGUGCGUAGGCGGCUUCUUAAGUCGGAUGUGAAAUCCCUGAGCUUAACUUAGGAAUUGCAUUCGAUACUGGGAAGCUAGAGUAUGGGAGAGGAUGGUAGAAUUCCAGGUGUAGCGGUGAAAUGCGUAGAGAUCUGGAGGAAUACCGAUGGCGAAGGCAGCCAUCUGGCCUAAUACUGACGCUGAGGUACGAAAGCAUGGGGAGCAAACAGGAUUAGAUACCCCUGUAGUCCCUGUCUCUUAUAU
rnacentral:rRNA from 1 species